UACGUAGGCAGCAAGCGUUGUUCGGAAUUACUGGGCGUAAAGAGUGUGUAGGCGGUGCUCCAAGUCUGGUGUGAAAUCUCCCGGCUUAACUGGGAGGGUGCAUUAGAAACUGGAAUGCUAGAGGAUGGGAGAGGUAAGCGGAAUUCCUGGUGUAGCGGUGAAAUGCGUAGAUAUCAGGAGGAACACCUGUGGUGUAGACAGCUUACUGGACCAUUUUCUGACGCUGAGACACGAAAAGCGUGGGGUAGCAAAACAGG
rnacentral:rRNA from 1 species